GACGAACGCUGGCGGCGUGCCUAAUACAUGCAAGUUGAGCGCUGAAGGUUGGUACUUGUACCAACUGGAUGAGCAGCGAACGGGUGAGUAACGCGUGGGGAAUCUGCCUUUGAGCGGGGGACAACAUUUGGAAACGAAUGCUAAUACCGCAUAAAAACUUUAAACACAAGUUUUAAGUUUGAAAGAUGCUAUUGCAUCACUCAAAGAUGAUCCCGCGUUGUAUUAGCUAGUUGGUGAGGUAAAGGCUCACCAAGGCGAUGAUACAUAGCCGACCUGAGAGGGUGAUCGGCCAAAAUGGGACUUGGACACGGCCCAAACUCCUACGGGAGGCAGCAGUAGGGAAUCUUCGGCAAUGGACGAAAGUCUGACCGAGCAACGCCGCGUGAGUGAAGAAGGGUUUCGGAUCGUAAAAAUCUGUUGGUAGAGAAGAACGUUGGUGGGAGGGGAAAGCUCAUCAAGUGACGGUAACUACCCAGAAAGGGACGGCUAACUACGUG
rnacentral:rRNA from 1 species